GGGCCCGUUGCCUAGCCCGGCAUUAUACACAAUCCGUGUAUUUUGUGGUUCAUAGGGCGCCAGCCUUCUAAGUUGGAGUUCGUGUGUUCAAAUCACACCGGGCCCGCCA
rnacentral:tRNA from 1 species